AGGACGAACGCUGGCGGCGUGCUUAACACAUGCAAGUCGAACGAGAUUCAGCCGACCUUCGGGAGAGCGAAAAUCUAGUGGCGAACGGGUGCGUAACACGUGAGAAACCUGCCCCAGACUUGGGAAUAACAGUCGGAAACGACUGCUAAUACCGAAUACCUUCGUAGCGUCGCAUGGCGACAUCGAAGGAAGUCUUUUGGCGGUUUGGGAGGUCUCGCGGCCUAUCAGCUAGUUGGUGAGGUAACGGCUCACCAAGGCAUCGACGGUAGCUGGUCUGAGAGGAUGAUCAGCCACACUGGACUGAGACACGGCCCAGACCUCCGUACGGGAGGCAGCAGGUAGGGGAAUUAGUGACACAAGU
rnacentral:rRNA from 1 species